UACGUAGGGCGCGAGCGUUGUCCGGAAUUAUUGGGCGUAAAGAGCUCGUAGGCGGCCGGUUGCGUCUGCUGUGAAAUCCCGGGGCUUAACCCCGGGCGUGCAGUGGAUACGGGCCGGCUGGAGGCAGGCAGGGGAGAAUGGAAUUCCCGGUGUAGCGGUGAAAUGCGCAGAUAUCGGGAGGAACACCGGUGGCGAAGGCGGUUCUCUGGGCCUGUACUGACGCUG
rnacentral:rRNA from 1 species